GGUGCUAAUACCGCAUAACCAUAGUUACCGCAUGGUAACUAUGUAAAAGGUGGCUAUGCUACCGCUUUUGGAUGGGCCCGCGGCGCAUUAGCUAGUUGGUGGGGUAAAGGCUUACCAAGGCAAUGAUGCGUAGCCGAACUGAGAGGUUGAUCGGCCACAUUGGGACUGAGACACGGCCCAAACUCCUACGGGAGGCAGCAGUAGGGAAUCUUCCACAAUGGGCGAAAGCCUGACGGAGCAACGCCGCGUGGGUGAAGAAGGUCUUCGGAUCGUAAAACCCUGUUGUUAGAGAAGAAAGUGCGUGAGAGUAACUGUUCACGUUUCGACGGUAUCUAACCAGAAAGCCACGGCUAACUACGUGCCAGCAGCCGCGGUAAUACGUAGGUGGCAAGCGUUAUCCGGAUUUAUUGGGCGUAAAGGGAACGCAGGCGGUCUUUUAAGUCUGAUGUGAAAGCCUUCGGCUUAACCGGAGUAGUGCAUUGGAAACUGGGAGACUUGAGUGCAGAAGAGGAGAGUGGAACUCCAUGUGUAGCGGUGAAAUGCGUAGAUAUAUGGAAGAACACCAGUGGCGAAAGCGGCUCUCUGGUCUGUAACUGACGCUGAGGUUCGAAAGCGUGGGUAGCAAACAGGAUUAGAUACCCUGGUAGUCCACGCCGUAAACGA
rnacentral:rRNA from 1 species